GUUGAGGUGGCCGAGUGGUUAAGGCGUUGGACUAGAAAUCCAAUGGGAUCUUCCCGCACAGGUUCGGAACCUGCCCGCAACG
rnacentral:tRNA from 2 species